UCUUACAGAUAAGCAAAGAAAGUAGUUUCCUGAGAUGGGAUCUACUCUUAGUGAUGAUGCUGUGAA
rnacentral:pre_miRNA from 1 species